CCACUUUUUCCCCCCAGUCCACCCAUGUAUGUAACUGCAGUUUCACAGGAAGACCCUGACAUCAUCAGUAGAGUGAAAGUGAUUGAGUAAAAUAAAGGUUGGCCUUGAAUCAUUCCUCACUACAAUGAUUAUAUUAAAUUAUGCCUAAAAACCUUGUCAGGAUAAAAGAAAAACGUUCUGUUUCUGUACGACAACAAAGGUAGCCUAAUCUAGACUAUACCCUGAACACUAUGCAGAAUCUGCUGCCAAUGGCUGUCAGAAAAGCCAAUGUUUAAAUUGGGAAAAAAUACUUAAAGGUAAAAUAAACAAAUUUGUUCACUUUUAUGAUGAAUAAUGUAUAUUGUAUAUGUAUAUAAAACUCACCAGUAACAAGAUGAUAAUAUUUAGAGAGGUAGCUUACCAAAUGUCUGAUAGAAUGAUGAGCAUGGAAACCAAAGCCAAAAGUUCUUGUCAUAUUCACAUUAUAUUCACGUUUCAAUAACCGUUUUCUUUUCACAUUUUGAAGUUAGAGUUGCUAUACGGCUACUUUGACCUACAUUGAUGUUAAUGUUAGCAAAUAAAUGUAAAAACGAGUGUGGCUUGCUAUAGCUGCUGGUGUCAAAGUUGCUGGAACAUAAACACAAGCCUAACAUACGGGUGGUGCAGCUGCAACCUUUAUCUCCUCUCUGUGAUUUGUUCCGGCAGGACUUUGCACAUUUCUGUGAAUGGCAACUCAAUUAUCCUGUCAGAGCGGAUAAACCAGCAAUAUAUGGCCUAUAUAUACUGUACAUAUGCUCUCACACAGUAUGAGAGAGAGAUUGCAAAAAAAACUUUGUUGUGCUGAAAUGGUGACUGAAUUGGUUUUGUUUUUCACGUGUUUUGGGAUCUCAGAAUGAAAUUAAGUAAUAUCUGAGAAUAAUAGUUGGACGUGGUGAACUGACAGGUCUUGAUAGCAUCUCUGUGGAGGAGAGACGAUGUUGUGAGCUGUUGAGCAAUGCUGCAAAACCACAGACACGUGUCGUUAACGUGAAAUGUGUCACUUCCAUUUCACUGCUUGCCACCCGCUCACUGCAAGGCAAGCCACAUGCUCUUAACCAUCGACAUUGAUGCCCUCGAGGUUGGAUCAACUCUUAGCCAUCGACACUGAUGCCUGCGAGGUUGGAUUAAGAAUCUCUCUUCUCUCUCUUUUUCUGUGUAUAGCUGCAUGCAUGUGAUUUUAAGAUUGUGGUAUGAAUGAAUACCUUUGCAUUUAGAUGUGCGACGAUUUAUAUUCUUUGGUAUAUUUCUAUAGGGUUUUAAGUUCAACAAAGUGAAGAGAGUAGCUGGAACAUUAGGUUCCAAUAGGUGUGUUUAGGUGGACCACUAAUGAAUAUGACAGACAAGAAUGAAAGUCAGUGUGGCAGUACUGUCUUUGCAGAGACCAGAGGGGACAUGCACUGCUCAUCUCGUGUCAGCUCAUUUCUACGCUGUUCACAAGCUAUUGUGGAACAUCCUUGGCCAAAAGUUACAGUGAUCAAGAGGUGACGGUCACAAGCAAAGACCUGAUUAAGUGUGAGCACUCAAAAAACUACUGUGUCACAGACAGCAGUGACUGCAGCUCAACUCAUGCGGUGCAUCGUGGACUAAUUGCUGGUCAGUUUGUCCUUUCCUUUAGCUUGAUACGGUAAAAUA